UACAGAGGGUGCGAGCGUUGUUCGGAAUUAUUGGGCGUAAAGAGCUCGUAGGCGGUUUGUCGCGUCUGCUGUGAAAACCCGAGGCUCAACCUCGGGCCUGCAGUGGGUACGGGCAGACUAGAGUGCGGUAGGGGAGAUUGGAAUUCCUGGUGUAGCGGUGGAAUGCGCAGAUAUCAGGAGGAACACCGAUGGCGAAGGCAGCUUGCUGGGACGUUUACUGACGCUAAGGCGCGAAAGCGUGGGGAGCGAACAGG
rnacentral:rRNA from 1 species